CACUGAGCUGAGGGAACCGGGAGACCCAGAGCCCUGCAAGGGCCAUCCUUCCCCUCCCCAGUGCAGCACUGGGAAAGGUGCCCUGAUCUUGGGAUGAGCUCAGCACCCACGCGUCCCCUGGGAUCAGAAGGCAGGGAGUGAGCGCAGGAGGGAGAGGACUGCCUCGGAUCCAUCACAGUGUGGUGGGCAAGGUGUGCCCAAGUUCACCAAACUGACAGGAAGCCAGGUUCUGGGACCAAUUUCUUACCCCAUUCUCUUGACCAAGUUUUCUGAGGACUCAACAGAAUCAUCUGCUCCAGAAGAAGAGCAUCAGGUAGAGCAUGCUCCAAGUGAGUGAAAGCAUGUGUUGUGUUCCACUGCUUUGGUGUACUCUAAAGAGGAGUGCCAAUCCAUUCCAGUGGGCUUCAAUCACUCCCUGAGAACACCAGGACCUCUGCACUGUCAGUGAAGGGAGAGACGUGCCUAUGUUUGGUGGAUGAAAAUACCCUCUGGAGCAUUUGAAAGCACCUCUCUCUUUUCACUGACCACAGAGCUCCCUUUAUAAGAAAUAUAUGGCAUUAUAUUCGGUGGACUGGAUCCCUCUCGCCCUCCUUUAUUCCUCCUUUCUCUUUGUCCCUUCCCUCCCUCUGUUUUUACUUCCUCCCUAGGCCAGGUGCCAAAAAUGCUAGUGCAGCAGUAUCUCAGCUAUCAGCUUAAAUUGUCAAAUUGGCUUCCACCUCUUUCAUUUCAGAGAGCACUGUAAUUGAAACUCCUCUUAUUUUAGGUGGCUGUAGUAUUUUAAACUCAGAAUUAUGUAAAGAAAUGGAGAUAACGCUGAGCCGCUUAGCUGCAAAGGGGUGGCUACAGACCAAGCAAGGAAAUGUUUGCAUAAAUCCUAUGUAGGCAGAUUCUCACCUAGAAAAAGCCUGUAUAUCUGCCAAAAUAUUCAGAAUCUCUCUGGCAUCCACCACAAGACAAUUGUCAGGCUUGAUUGGUCCAGCAGGGAAGGCUUUUGCUUUCAUUUCUGCGCAUUUGGUGCCAGCAUAUUUCCCUGACAAGUGAUGCGAGAGGUGACUGGAAGAGUUCAUUGACUGUGGAGAUGCCUGCGCAGGGAAUUGCUUUCCUUCUUCUGCGGAGGUGAGUAGAAGCCUGCAGACACACAGAGGAGAAUGGGUUGACAUUGCACUCAGUUUUUAACAGUGCCCAGGUUGCAUGGGCUGGUGCUCUCAAGCAUUGCAGGUGGAAUGAUGAGUGAGCCCAGAUAAGAAUCCCAGAGGGGCAAGCUUGGCUGAAAAAUGCCUUAUAACACAAUUCUUUAUUAGUAAGGAUAAAAAAUAAUGGACAAAGGAGUCCCAAAA
rnacentral:lncRNA from 1 species